rnacentral:rRNA from 1 species
UACGGAGGGUGCAAGCGUUGUUCGGAAUCACUGGGCGUAAAGCGCGUGUAGGCGGCCUCCUCAGUCUGGUGUGAAAGCCCGGGGCUCACCCCCGGAAGUGCAUUGGAUACUGGGAGGCUGGAGUACCGGAGAGGAGGGUGGAAUUCCUGGUGUAGCGGUGAAAUGCGUAGAUAUCAGGAGGAACACCGGUGGCGAACGCGGCCCUCUGGACGGAUACUGACGCUGAGACGCGAAAGCGUGGGGAGCAAACAGG